rnacentral:rRNA from 1 species
UCGGAAUUGGAUGGGCCCGCGUUGGAUUAGCUAGUUGGUGGGGUAACGGCCUACCAAGGCGACGAUCCAUAGCUGGUCUGAGAGGAUGAUCAGCCACACUGGGACUGAGACACGGCCCAG